CGAGCACGUCCGUGUGCACGACCUCUACCACGUGCGCCCAUCAUGCGAGAACUGCCCCGCCUCCUUACCUUAUAAAUAGCCCUCGGUGUCCUCACUUAGGCUGCCCAUGUAGAGACCCACCCCUACCGCACUGACCUAGCUCACUCAGUCGUCGAUUCCGACGAACAAGACAACCCCCAGACCAAACCACCGCCACCACUUGACCCAAGGCAUUCCGGCGCACCUGCUGGACAUCGUCAGCGUGCCGGAGCCCCUUGGAGACCCAAGGCCGACGAAGCCCGAAUCUCGCCACCGCGCCAUCGUCUUCUCCGAUGAGAGUCGCACCAAAUCUAUGCCCUGACCACGCCCGCGAGCUCCUCUGUGUUGAGCAAUUCUGGCGACCAACAACCACUGUUUCCAUCAUCCCCAGCGACGACCACGACCACCAGGAGAAUCACCGUCGCCGUUGGACCCUGGCGUGCCCUCUGCUGACGCUGGUGACCUCUGGAACGCGAAAUACGGCGAGCCCCGAGCCACGUGCCGCCGUCCUAGCCAUCUUCGGAGAGAUCUCCGAUUGUUGGGAGAGCGAAGAGUCGAAGAGUAGCCUUAUCUAGUUGUGUGUGUGUGAAGAAAUUCAAUAAUUACGAAGAUUUGUUUAUGUGAAGAACAAAAACGAUUACCAGAAAAUCCUUAUCAAACGGAGUCCAAAUGCCACGAAACUUUACGGAGAUUUUUUAUAGGCCAGAAGGAAGGUAAUGGGCCGUGGUUGCACCUGGGGGUGCCCAGAGGGGGGCACACCGCACCAGGGCGCGCCAGGAGGCCCAGGCGCGCCCUGGUGGGUUGUGCCCAGCUCGGUUGCCGCCUGGACUGCCUCUUUGC